GACUGUUUAAUUGGGGCGAUGAGCUUAUCUAAUCCACCUAAGGUGAACAAAGCCAUCCAAUGAGCCCAACUAAUAAGUGCAAAGAUACAUGUUUCGCUUAAUGGCCCGGUGAGUCCUUCCCAGUACUUAAAUGCUGUCUUAGUGAGCUUUAAAUUAAUUUACCAGCACCAAGCUACUCUACGGAUAACAGGCUUAAUUUCGGCAAUACGGAAGCUCACAUUAUCAAGAAAAAUGCACCUCGAUGUCGGCUUAUCGUCACCAAAAUCUGUAGCUGGUUUAUUGGUGGGAGUGCUCAUCCCGUAAAUCGGUACGUGAGCUGGGUUCAGAACGAUGUAAAUCAGUUUGGUCUAUAUCUUUAAUCAUAACACAAGAAAUGCAUUGUUUUCUCAGUACGCAAGGACCAGAAAGAUUAAGCU
rnacentral:rRNA from 1 species